AAGCAACGCGAAGAACCUUACCAGGACUUGACAUCCUUUGACCACCCUAGAGAUAGGGCCUUCCCCUUCGGGGGACAAAGUGACAGGUGGUGCAUGGUUGUCGUCAGCUCGUGUCGUGAGAUGUUGGGUUAAGUCCCGCAACGAGCGCAACCCUUAAUCUUAGUUGCCAGCAUUUAGUUGGGCACUCUAAGGUGACUGCCGGUGACAAACCGGAGGAAGGUGGGGAUGACGUCAAAUCAUCAUGCCCCUUAUGUCCUGGGCUACACACGUGCUACAAUGGACAGUACAAAGGGCAGCGAAGCCGCGAGGUGGAGCCAAUCCCAUAAAGCUGUUCUCAGUUCGGAUUGCAGGCUGCAACUCGCCUGCAUGAAGCCGGAAUUGCUAGUAAUCGCGGAUCAGCAUGCCGCGGUGAAUACGUUCCCGGGUCUUGUACACACCGCCCGUCACACCACGAGAGUUUGUAGCACCCGAAGUCGGUGAGGUAACCUUUUUGGAGCCAGCCGCCUAAGGUGGGA
rnacentral:rRNA from 1 species